GUCCACGCCCUAAACGAUGUAUACUAGUUGUUGGGGAAUUCGUUCCUUAGUAACGCAGCUAACGCGUGAAGUAGACCGCCUGGGGAGUACGGCCGCAAGGCUAAAACUCAAAGGAAUUGACGGGGCCCGCACAAGCGGUGGAUGAUGUGGAUUAAUUCGAUGCAACGCGAAAACCUUACCUAGCCUUGACAUGUCAAGAAUCCCUGAGAGAUUGGGGAGUGCCGCAAGGAACUUGAACACAGGUGCUGCAUGGCUGUCGU
rnacentral:rRNA from 1 species